rnacentral:lncRNA from 1 species
UAGCUCAAGGUUUGUAAACACACCAAUCAGCACUCUGUGUCUAGCUCAGGGUUUGUAAGUACACCAAUCAACACUCUGUAUCUAGCUAAUCUAGUGGGGAACUGCUCUGUUUCGGUACCAGUACCAUGCUGUUUUGGUUACUAUAGCCUAGUAGUAUAGUUUGAAGUCAGCUAGUGUGAUGCCUCCAGCUUUGUUCUUUUGGCUUAGGAUUGUCUUGGAAAUGUGGGCCCUUUUUUGGUUCCAUAUGAACUUUAAAGUAGUUAACAAAGUAGAAAGAAAACAUUAGCAGACAUUUCAGACUAAUGAUGUUUUCUUUUUUUCAAGUGGGUUAUUUAGAGUUGAAUAGCAAUUACUUAAAGCUAGUAGCAUAGGAACAUUUUCU